rnacentral:rRNA from 1 species
CCAAUAGCGUAUAUUAAAGUUGUUGCAGUUAAAAAGCUCGUAGUUGAACUUCGGGAUUCACCCAUUGGUCAGGCUUAAUUGUCUGCACUGGUGAGAUGAGUCUCUACCUUCUGAGGAACUUUCAUGCCAUUUAUUUGGUGUGGUUGGAAAUCAGGACUGUUACUUUGAAAAAAUUAGAGUGUUUAAAGCAGGCUAACGUCUGAAUACAUUAGCAUGGAAUAAUGAAAUAGGACGGACUGAUUCUAUUUCGUUGGUUUCUAGGAUCACCGUAAUGAUUAAUAGGGAUAGUUGGGGGCAUUAGUAUUCAAUUGUCAGAGGUGAAAUUCUUGGAUUUAUUGAAGACUAACUACUGCGAAAGCAUUUGCCAAGGAUGUUUUCAUUAAUCAAGAACGAAAGUUAGGGGAUCGAAGACGAUCAGAUACCGUCGUAGUCUUAACCAUAAACUAUGCCGACUAGGGAUCGGAUGAUGUUGAUUUUUUAAUGACUCAUUCGGCACCUUACG